GGGGGCCCGCAAGUGGUGGAGCAUGUGGUUUAAUUCGAUGAUACGCGAGGAACCUUACCUAGGCUAGAAUGCGCGUGACCGGCUCAGAGAUGAGCUUUUCCUUCGGGACACAAAGCAAGGUGCUGCAUGGCCGUCGUCGGCUCGUGCCGUGAGGUGUUGGGUUAAGUCCCGCAACGAGCGCAACCCCUAUGUUUAGUUGCCAGCAUGUAAUGAUGGGGACUCUAGACAGACUGCCUGCGCAAGCAGUGAGGAAGGCGGGGACGACGUCAGGUCAUCAUGGCCCUUACGCCUAGGGCGACACACGUGCUACAAUGGACGGUACAGCGGGUAGCUACUGGGCGACCAGAUGCCAAUCUCGAAAAGCCGUUCUCAGUUCGGAUCGGAGUCUGCAACUCGACUCCGUGAAGCUGGAAUCACUAGUAAUCGCGCAUCAGCCAUGGCGCGGUGAAUACGUUCCCGGGCCCUGUACACACC
rnacentral:rRNA from 1 species